rnacentral:tRNA from 1 species
UAAACCAAAACAAAUGAUUUCGACUCAUUAGAUUAUGAAUAAUAACAUAAUUAUCNN